rnacentral:pre_miRNA from 1 species
UUUGAGGUGAAUUGAUUAUGUUUGAAUACACUCACUUAAGUGAUUUUUAUGAGUUGAUGUUGUUUGGAUAG